UCACCAGUGCCGGGGCGGGGGCGGGGGCGGCCAGCAGCGCCGCGGCGGUCAUCCGUUCCAGAUGGAUCUGCUGGG
rnacentral:tRNA from 1 species